AGUGUCGCGGAUGGAGCCCCGCCUGAGCCCUUCGACUUCUCCCGUGGCCGCCAGGCGCCUCCCCUCCGCGAGACCUCGGCCGCCUCUAACUUUCUGGUUGGCUGAGCGUCGGCUUCCCCGGCACGGGCUGAAGCCCCCGGGCCUUCCACGCAGCCCCGGGCCCCUCUGCCGCUCGGCCCCGCGGCGGAGCAGGCGCGCCGGCCGCUGCGUAUCGAGCUGGGAGAGCCUGGCGCGGCUUCCGCAGUGCCGAGCGUUUUGCAGCCUGGGAGACCCGGGCUUCUCUCCCCGCGGGUCAGCAGGGCACCGCCUCCACACCCCAGCCUGCCCUCCUAGGGACAGGUGCGACGAACGGAAAUCUCCAAAACCCACGUCCUACACGGCCAGGCUGCUGAAGCACCCUGGAUGCCUACUGUGUACCAGCGCUACUGUUUCUUUUUGCUGGGAUUCAGCUCUGCUAUCACAAAGAUAGUGAAGGUCCCUGCUAACAGCUCUCCGUGGUCUACUGGAGGCCUGGGUCACAUGCGUAAGUGCUCCUGGGCAGGCAGCAGCAUUCUAAACUUCAGUGAGGAAGGAUAUCUUCAUAGAAUUUGAGCUGGACCUUUUGGAAAAAGUAAAAUUUUGCCAGGUAUGGAAGGUGUGUAUGUGUUGGGGGCGUUCCACGCAGAGAGGCCCACAGAAGCAAAGGCGUGGAAGUCUGUGGAAUGCUGAAUCUUCGGCUGGGGCUGUGGCAUAGGGUGUUGUCAGUUGAGGAUUUUUAAUGUUGGAGAGGGGGUUUUGUGCAGAGAAAAGCUACCUACUGCUGCUUGUGUUUAAAUUAAUACUGUAUUUAUUAAACAUAAAUUUUAAAAACUAGUUUUUCUUAAACAUCCAAGUGCAAUUUGUAAAUCUAGUUUUCUAUGUAUAAGCCUACUAAUUUUUUUAUAAAAGUAAGAACAAUUAUGUUCACUUAUUCUUUAAUAUUUAAUUAACUCAUAAGUUCAACAGAUUAAAUUAUUCUAAAAAUUAAUGCCAGUUACAAACUUAGGUAAUUAAAUCCUCUAAUAGAUUUUAAACUAUAUUUUACAGACUUAAAGUAGCUGAUCCUCUCAAACACCUCAAAUUCCAAGCAGAAGAGACUUACAAGGAUUUUUUUUUUUUUCUUAUCACUUAAGCAACUCUUUUUCUUUUUCCUUUUUUCAGGGACAGCGUCUACAGGGUCUGGAGCAAUCAUGACUCACUAGCUUUGACCUCCUGGGCUCAAUCGAUCCUCCAGCCUCAGCCUCCUGAGCAGCUGGGACUACAGGUGUGUGCCACCGCACCCAGCUAAUUUUUUUUUUUUUUUUUUUUUUUCCCGUUAAAGGAUUUAUUGAAACAUCAA